rnacentral:tRNA from 1 species
GCGCGAUUAGCUCAGUAGGUAGAGCAAUUGACUCUUAAUCAAUGGGUCCAGGGUUCGAAUCCCUGAUCGCGUACGA